rnacentral:rRNA from 1 species
UACAGAGGGUGCAAGCGUUGCUCGGAAUUACUGGGCGUAAAGGGCGCGUAGGCGGACAGUUUAGUCAGAGGUGAAAGCCCAGGGCUCAACCUUGGAAUAGCCUUUGAUACUGACUGUCUUGAGUUCGGGAGAGGUGAGUGGAAUGCCGAGUGUAGAGGUGAAAUUCGUAGAUAUUCGGCGGAACACCAGUGGCGAAGGCGACUCACUGGCCCGAUACUGACGCUGAGGCGCGAAAGCGUGGGGAGCAAACAGGG